AGAGAGGAAGCGAGAGUGACGGUAUCUGCAGAAGAAGCACUGGCUAACUACGUGUCAGCAGCUGCGGUAAUACGUAGAGUGCGAGCGUUGUCCAGAAUUAUUGGGCGUAAAGAGCUUGUGGGCGGUCUGUCGCGUCUGCUGUGAGAAUCCGGAGCUCAACCCCGGACUUGCAGUAGGUACGGACAGACUAGAGUGUGGUAGAGGAGACUGGAAUUCCUGGUGUAGUGGUGAGAUGCGCAGAUAUCAGCAGGAGCACCGAUGGCGAAGGCAGGUCUCUGAGCCACUACUGACGCUGAGAACCGAUAGCGUGGGGAGCGAACAGGAUUAGAUACCCUGGUAGUGCACGCCGUAAACGUUGGGGACUAGGUGUGGGUCUCAUUCCACGAGAUCUGUGUCGCAGCUAACGCAUUAAGUUCCUCGCCUGGGGAGUACGGCCGCAAGGCUAAAACUCAAAGGAAUUG
rnacentral:rRNA from 1 species